GUGAUGGCUGCACAACACCGCAAAUGCAGUUGAUGCCACUGAAUCGUGCACUUAAAAAUGGCUAAAACUGUAAAUUUCACCUUACUUUGCUUCUACGGCUGAACAUUGAGCAGCAGGUCCGAUCUCUCCACAAAUACCUACUGCGCACCUGGAGAGGAGGGCUCAGAAAUGGCGGAAGAGGCCACAGCAGUCUCAGAAUCAUGGAGAGGAGGCCGAAUACAAAGCAGCGGGGACAAGAAGCCACCUUUUCUCUGAUCCCUUCUCCGGCAGUGGGUGUGACUGGAGAUGAGCCGCAAGCCAGGCCCAGGCUGAGGAGACAAACUUUCUACUAGGCUGUGCUCCUAUAGGCUGGUUGAUUUAAUCCAACACUGCCCAGAUUCCUGGGUUUAGCCAUCGCCUGCACUAUUAAUUCCUUCACUCUUUCCUGUAACUGACACUUUAUUUUCUUUAAAAGAAGGCUGUUUUGGGAAUUCGCUGACGGUCUGGUGGUUAGGACUCUGCCCUCUCACUGCCAAGGCCUGGGUUCGAUCCUUAGUUGGGGAACUAAGAUCCUGCAAGCCUCCCAGCGUAGCCAAAGAAAAAAAGUAUGUUAAAAUGUUGCUUCACCUCACAGCACAGCCAAAGAAAAAAAGGAUGUUAAAAUGUUGCUUUACCUUAGCUUAUU